UUGCAUUAACCAAGGGCAUUUUCUGGUAUUUUAAAUGUUUCACCAUUCUCUGUCUUUUGCUUUAUAUAUAUAGAUAAAACAAUUAUCCCUAAACUAAAGUUGAAUAAAUAUUUGAAAUAUAUUACUUCCUAUUGCCAAUUGGUUUCAGGGAUACUCGGAUUCUAUUGGAUCGGGUUAGCAUCAGGCAAACUCUCCAUUUUCUUUUUUCCUUUGUUGGGUAAACAAACACCAGCAAGAAAAAGAAAAGAGCAGUUUUCAACAUUGAAAACACAAGUCAAUAUAUGCAGCCCAGCACACGAACUAAACUUUUUUUUGUAUCUUUUUAUGCUUAUAGCAAGACUUAAAUGUAGGUUCUGCCACUCAUUCAUUCCGACACGAUGCCAUUUGAGAUGCUAGAGCUUAUGAGCACACACGUACAACAUUUCGAUAAGACAAGCAACCAGAUCGGUAGCUAAGCCCUCCUCCAGAACAUAGAAGCAUUCUUAGUUCUGCUAGUGUUACCAUUAUAGAAUCUUAAUGCUGGUAAAUGGUAACGUAAAAAAUGUUGCAAGAUCAUGUGAGCCAUAUGAGUAUCCUUAGUUCUGGUAAAUAUCAGAACCGGACUCCCAUCAUCUUGCAGCUUCAUCUGCAAUCUCCAGUGACAGAAAAUGAUACUUCUAAACAUUUGCUCUUCCCACCGGCAUGAAAUCCAUCACCGUAGUCGCAGGAGAAAUGGCACCACCACAUGCUACAAACGUCGAUUCUGCACAGGAGAGAUGGCACUUGUUUAACUCUCUUGCAUGCAGAACUGGAAGAGGAAAGCACUGCAUGAAUAUUGCAGCAACGAGUAAAACAUUACACUCAAAACUUGUGUGGGUUGAGAUUUUUCUCUUUCUGUGCUCUACAUAUAUAGACAGAAAGAUCUUUUCUAGAUAAGGUAAAGCUAAGUAAAAAAAACAAAAGCCUUUUUAGUAAUUGGUUGCUUUUUCUUUGCUUUUGGUUUUGCUUUCGAUAGUUGUUUUCCAUUUCUCAAUCAUUUUUUUUUAACCUUUGUCAAUGGUGCGGCCCUCAUCACAUCAUCGUUGAAAAUGAGUAGCAACAUGAUUAUUGUUUCAACUCCACUGACAGCGGUGGAAAUGCAACAAUAAUGCAACAAUAAUGCAACAAUAAUGAUUCAGAAUUCUAACCUAAUACACAGAACUAGGACCUUUUGGUUGGGCCAAUGCAAGCUUUCAGCUUGCCCAUUAGUGAUGCACAUCUCUUCAUACAAAAAUGAAUCUUCCUUUCUGCUUAGGGAGACUCUAGAGAACUUAACUGCACCAGCAAGAACAGUCCGGCAUCUAUUUUGAUUCACUUGGGUGGUCCAGUGGUAAACAUUAAAAACAGUUCAUUUCAAAUAUAAUCAUAUGCAUUUCGCCUACAAAAUUAGUUGCUAUGCCGUUUUCUGGACACACCUAUUUUAAUCUUUUUCUUUUCUAAUUUUGCUGCCCCUGUUCGCUCUAUACUGAAAAUGGAAGGCAACAAAAAAGAUUCCCAUACGCCAGUCCUCCCCUAAUUAGCCAUUAACAAGAUGAUGAGAACAAAUAUCAUGCUAGUGAAUCUUGAAGAACCAAAAACGAAUGUCGAUCUCAAUUUACCCCGUGGAACUCAAAUUUUCCUACUUAACACUCUAGAACCUUACUUCAUGUCCCACUUUGUCUUAUUUCGUCAACUUCUUUAAUUUGCUGAUGUGGCAUGAGCCCACUUAUUUGUUGUAUUCGUCACACAUUACCACAUACACAAAAGUCAAUUUUUAUUUUUGUUUUGUUUUUGCCAAAGUUAGGAAGGGGGAAGGGGAAAACUCACACACACGGGUACCAUUAAGGUUUAAACACAUGAUCAGUUGGGAGCACACCAAAGGAGCCAAUCUAAUUAACACUCCAUUAAUACUUGUUAAAAAAACAAUUCAUGAAUCAUGUCCCACCUGAGUGAUGGUUUGGGUUGGGCGUGCUGAGGAAAAAAAUCCAAGUCUCAAAUGGAAUUCUAGGUGGUGAAGGAGAGAGAGAGAAUGAUGUUUGGGCAGGGGUGGUUGUUUGAGUUUUAAUAGCUGAAAUUAUUAAAAUGUUCAUGCCAUGUCAGCAAGUUAAACAAAUUUGUUAACAGAGUUGACGAAAUUAAGCAAAAUAGGACACAAAGUAAGAUUCUAGAGUGUUAAGUGAGAAAACUUGAGUUCCAUGGAGUAAAUUGAGAUCGACAUUUAAGUCAACACUUGGGUCCAAUUUGGGCCUACAGACGAUUUAGGUCUAAGGACUGCAUGUCCCACAAAAUUUAGGGAGCACGAGUACUUCCCUUUCUUUUCCGUAUUUAUAAUAUUGUCCAUAUAUUCUUUUUUAAAAAUUGAAGAAUCUGCAUAUGAAGUUCUGUGUUCAAAUCCCAUUCUUUUCAAUAUUGCUUGUAUUAAAAGAAAAGUGAAGAAUGUGUUCAUAAGAAAUGAAACAACACUAAGAAUUUGCGAACACUUCUGAAUGAGUUGCCCAACAUUUAUUUUGAACAAUGUCAGGGAGAUAGAGAACAUCAUGAAUGAAUUUGAAUUGCCCUCCUUUUGUUUGGACUUGAAGGACUCAUUUUCCUUCAGCUUUUUGCAAUUUUAUGUCUCCAAGCUUAACUUGGGAGACCACUUUUUCAUCUAGACAAGGGCGGAAUCAAGAAUUUUUUAAUGGGUGGGCUAGCGAAAGUUAUAGUUUAAAAUCUAAUGAUAAUUUUUUUUUUUUGGUACUAACAGUUUCUAUUUUUUUUUUAUAGAAAUAAAAGUAUACAUUAAAUCAUAUAAAUCACGUCACAAGAAAAAAAAAUGGAAUUAGAGCCAUAAUAUUCACAAAAGGGUGAAUUUUAUUUAGAAAAAAUGUUCUCUUUUGGAGAUACGUUAAUGGAAAAGGAUUAAAAUUGAUGUUUAGGACAAACUUUGACACCAAAUACAAAUGUGGAAGACUUUUGACUAUGCCUAUUGGUGUGGCAGGAUAUGCAAUUGUAUAUAUAUUUUUAUUUAUUUUUAGUGAAAUAUUAGGCUAUAUUUGUUUAAUUAUUUUUUUCCCCAAAACCUUCCCUAAGCUACAACAUGGCAACCCUUGGACUAGUUCCGCCCAUGCAUCUAGGUUGACAAAACAUUUUUAUUUUUCUAUCAUGUAGUUACUACAACCAUUGCCCCCAUCCCAAAUAUAAAGACAGAGUUGCAGUAGGGCUAAAAAUAACAUGGGACCCACCACUUAUAGGCCACGGAGACUCAUUGUCAAGGUGGAAACUUAAUGACAAUGCCAACAACUACCACAAUUAGUUAUUUUGUGGACAAUUCGUGACCAACACCCUUUGGUCACUGAUUGUCAGUGACCAACAUAAAUAUAGGCCACGAGCUGUCUGUGGCUUAUAAUGAGAUUUUCUAGUAGUGACUCUUGUCGUUGACUAUAACACCAAUAGAACAACUGGCAUGAUAAAUCUUUUUCUCCAUGUAAUUUACUUCAUAAACUAAAACUGAAUAAAUAUUAGAAAUAUAUUUAUGUCUUACUGUCUAUUGCCAAUUGGUUUCAAGGAUACUUGCAUUCUAUUGGAUCGGGUUAGCAUCAGGCAAACUCUCCAUUUUCGUUUUUCCAUUGUUGGGUAAACAAACAUCAGCAAGAAAAAGAAAAGAGCUGUUUUCAACAUUGAAAACACAAGUAUAUAGAUACACCAGCACACGAACUAAACUUUUUUUGUUUCUUUUUAUGCUUAUAUAGCAAACUUAAAUGUAGGUUCUGCCACUUAUUCAUUCCACCAGGAUGCCAUUUGAGAUGCUAGAGCUUAUAAGAGAAUGAACUCAAGAGGAAGAGAGGGGGAUGAGAACAGAGAGAUUAAGAAGAAUUGCCACAAUCAAGAUGAUACGUUCUCAGUAUUAUCUGCAGUAUAAAUAUUGGUACAUGGGUUAAACUUUCUCAACCCACAUAUAUUACAGAGGACUUGACAAUUAAUCAUUCUGGCUGAUGAAUGCCGUGCUUGUGGUUAGGAGGCUUCUAAGGCUGAUGUAAUGGGAUCAGCUGAUUUCAUGGGACUGACAGAUUGGAUGGGAUCUGCUGGUGUAGUAGUCUCUUUAGAGCUUAUGAGACGAACUACAUUUUGAAAAAACAAGCUACUAGAUCGGUUGCUAAGCCCUCCUCUUGGAUAUAGAAGCAUUCUUAGUUCUGCUAAUUUCACUGGUAAAUGGUAAUGCAAAAAAUGUUGCACGAUCAUGUGAGCCAUAUGAGUAUCCUAGGUUCUGGUAAAUAUCAGAACCUGACUCCCAUCAUCUUGCAGCUUAAUCUGCAACCUCCAAUGACAUAAAAUGAUACUUCUAAACAUUUGCUCUUCUCACCGGCAAGAAAUCCAUCACCAUAGUCGCAGGAGAAAUGGCACCACCAUAUGCUACAAACGUCGAUUCUGCACAGGAGAGAUGGCACUUGUUUAACUCUCUUGCAUGCAGAAAUGGAAGAGGAAAGCACUGCAUUUUUUGUUGCCCUCUAGGAUGAAUACUGCAGCAACGAGUAAAACAUUACUCAAAACUUGUGUGGGUUGAGAUUCUUCUCUUUCUGUGUUCUACUUAUAUAGAAAGGAA
rnacentral:lncRNA from 1 species